UGCUAUAAAGUCUUCCAUCCCUUACAUUGCUUUUGAUCAGAGUUUGCUUCGAGGGAAAAUACACGUAUUGUGACUAAAAGAGCUCUCAGAAUCAUCACCACCACCUCUAUGUAUACCACUGUUAACACAAUCAUAGAAAUAUUCAGCAAUACCAGGAAAACCUGAUGGCAACAGCAGUUCAGUCAAUGGCUUUUUC
rnacentral:lncRNA from 1 species